rnacentral:misc_RNA from 1 species
AGCAUUGAUCCAAUUAAAAAAAAAGAAGAAGAAAAUGUUUGAAGUUUUAUGUGUUUUCUAUAUGUAUAGUACCAUUUUUUUAUGGAUUCUGAACUUCUUGUCUUUGACAAUAUUGGCUAUACAAGAUAAAAUGGUUCAUUUUUAUUUCUUAUGCCAUUAUGCUGUGUACUGUCUAUUUAAAUGGUUUUAUGGAUCCCUUUUUUG